GGGUGGGGGGCUGGUACGAGGCAGGCUGCGGCUGCGGUUGCCUAGGAGACGUCGCCAGUAUCCGGCACUCAUCCUUCUCCGGCCCCCAGGUGAGGGCAGGCCUAGGGGAGAGAGACUAGGAGGAUGGCUGCGGAGGCGGGGAGGAACCCCGGAGCCUCAGAGAGGGGGCCCAACACACUGGAAGUCCCGGGCUCUGUGGCCUCGAAGCAAGAGGACCGCCACGGUGAUACUCAGGAGGAAAACUGCCAUCUGCCCAAGGCUUCAGCACCUCAAGCAGCUCCAUGGCCACGGAGAGGUUUGGAGUUCAUGGCCUCACCCUGUGACCAGAGAGGUCAGGAGAGGGGGGUGAUGAGGCGAAGGACCAAGGCGGAUGAGAUCUUCCUGCAUGAAGAGGCUUCCCAGUAAUGAGCUUCCUGCUCAUGGUGGAGAAGGCAGAGUGGUGCUGCCAGAUAACAUCAGGCAAGCAGCACCAAGAGCUACAUGGAGGAAAGACUGAAGCCUUUCCUGGGGCACAAGCAGAGCCGAGAGAGCCAAGCCAAACCCUGGGUGUGAAACAGGAACAAGCAAGUCGAGGAGAUGAUCUGGACCCAGAAAGUACAUGGAAGUUGGUGCUCAAGACAACUUGGUGGGUAUGAAUUCAAAGUUGAAAUCCACAAAACGUCCUAAACUCUACCCAGUGGAGCGGGACAACUCCCACUGCUAAUGCAAUCUACUCUCUCUUCUUUACCUAUUUGGGUUUGUUAGCAUUUGUCAAGUUCACUGAUAGAAAAGCAACCUUUUGUUAAGAAAGGAACAUGCAGAAAAUGCAUUGACUUCAGCCCUCUUCAGGGGUAGGGGGAGAAGGGAUGAUAAGAAACAGACAGGGCCACGUGUUCAGGUUCUGCCUUUGUCCUGCCUAGAAGAGACCAUGUAGUCCAAUCUCCUAAUCUUACAGAUGAGAAAACUGAGGCACGGGUGACUUGCCCAAUGGUAACUUUGUAAAACACAGGGGUUGGAAUAGAUGAUCUCUGAAAUUUCUUUUAGCUAGAACUUCUAUGCACUUAUUAUUAAAACACAUGCCAAACUGGGGACCUCCAGAAUUCUGGAAAGGACUACUUUGGACAGGGAGCUUUUCAGGGACUUCAGUCUCCAUCCCGAUCCAAUGCUAGCUUUCUAGAGCUUGAGCAGGCUCAUGCCUAGGGCUCAGGACUUCAACCAAUCCAAGUCUAAAAGAAUCUUCCUAGAUGCAGCAGGAGUUGGCAACCCCAUACCAUCGCUCAAGGAAAACAAGACCCCUGAGUUCAUGUGGUCAUCGCUUUCCCUUCUUCCUAUGCCAUCUGGACAUGACCAAGAUGGGCAUUCGUUAGGAAGCCUUUAAUCGGUUUGGGGGGGCCACUAUUCAUCCUCCACCUUUUUCCUCGUCCUCUUGAUCUCUUGUAUUGUCUUUCUGAAGCAUUAGGGAGAGUUUGUCAUCAAUGAUGCCACCAAAGUCUUGGUGGACCAACAGCAAGACGGGAUUCACAUGUAUCCCCGGAGAGCCAGAAUAGUAGGAAUAGGAAGGAGGGAAGGAGCAUAUUCAAGUACACCCCCUGCUCGGAAAGGACUCACACCAGCAUACUAAGGCUUAGAGAAGGUAGGCAAUGCUAGACUCCAUUCUUUGACUGAAGUAGAAACUUUGUUGUUAACAAGAAAAAACUUCUUGAUACAAACUAGAACAACCUCUUAGGAAAGGUGGUUGCCCUCAGAUGUAACAGAUGGAACUGCUUGGGAUGUACAAGGUAAGGUUUUGCCUCCAAGUCCCAGGGAAUGAGUUAGGGGGCUGCUAAAAAGGGAACGGGCAAUUUUUUGUCCUGGGUGUCCAGGAGGAGCUGGAAGAACACUAUCAAGAAGACUCCUGCAGAGUGUGUAGUAUGGUGCUUAAUAAAUACUUGCUGCCUGACUCUGUGCUAGGCGCUGCUCCUUUGCAUCUCUUUUACUCCAUCAGUUUCUCAUUAUGCCUCUCAGGCUAGGGGAUGGAGCACCUGGUCCCUCUCCUUUCAUCUUCUCCCUGUUCUAAGAGCUGUCUUUAAUGAUCUUCCUCCUCUUGGCCCACACUGGACCUGCAGUGCGAAUUCCUUUGUGAUCAUUGACCUUGGAGGCUUGCUAAGACUCGUCUUUCCUUUCCAUCUUUUAAAGCUAUUUGAACUGUAAAGUGGUGGGGUCCUGUGUCUGAUGAAGAAGCCCCCGGUGGGAAGGAAGAGGGCCCUCAUUUAGAGGUGGCUGCCAUCUUCUUUCCAGGAAUGUGUGUGUGAGUGCUAAAGGUUAUUUCUCAAAAGGAAUGUUUAAUUUCAGGAAGUUCUUUUCCAUCCAUUUAGCCAUUUGUGUUGGGAAAGACUGAAGGGGGACAGCAGCAAUUGAGGUGGAAAGAUAGUGUCAUGGAAACAAUGAACCCAAACUUGGGCCGACCUUGAGAGAUGGUGGAGGAUAGAAGGGCCUGGGGCACCAUGGUCCAUGGGGUCAUGCCUGGGCAACAGACAACACAACAAAAAACUGUGCCAGGAGUUUCUCCUGGAAGGUGCUCUGUUCACGAAUGCUCAUGAAUUCCCCUUCCCCUUUGAGGUGCCAUCUUUUUUACUGAGAUCUAGACCACCAAUCUAUCGGCCAGAGGUAAGAAGUGCAAGGAAGGGGCAAACCCCAGUGCCUUCUAGUAGGAUGCACUAUAGCACUAGCGAUAUGAUUCUUCCAGCGAAUAUAACUAUGGCCUGAGCAAAAGAGGUGGCAAAGUGACUUUCCAAGAAACAGAACAUUGAGAGGAACCUUAGAAUCCAAAGUUUGUAGGCAAGGUUAGAUGUUCGCAGGUGCUUCAAUCACCCUUGUGUGAUGGAGUGGCUGCGUCCUUGCAUCUCGCAUGUAGGCUUGUUGAUAUUUUGCCUGAAGCGUGAUGCCAAAAUGGAACAGAGCUCUCCAGACUGUUUGGCC